CAGUAGCCACGGUAAUACGAAGGGGGCUAGCGUUGCUCGGAAUGACUGGGCGUAAAGGGCGCGUAGGCGGAUUGUUUAGUUAGGCGUGAAAUUCCUGGGCUUAACCUGGGGACUGCGCUUAAUACAGGCAGUCUAGAGUGAGGAGGAGGGUUGUGGAAUUCCCAGUGUAGAGGUGAAAUUCGUAGAUAUUGGGAAGAACACCGGUGGCGAAGGCGGCUCACUGGCUCAUACUGGACGCUGAGGCGCGAAAGCGUGGGGAGCAAACAGGAUUAGAUACCCGUGUAGUCCCUGUCUCUUAUAC
rnacentral:rRNA from 1 species